GGCCCCAUCGUCUAACGGUUAGGACACAGGAUUUUCAUUCCUGUAAUCGGGGUUCGAUUCCCCGUGGGGCUGCCA
rnacentral:tRNA from 1 species